rnacentral:rRNA from 1 species
GACGAACGCUGGCGGCGUGCUUAACACAUGCAAGUCGAACGGAAAGGCCCUGCUUUUGUGGGGUGCUCGAGUGGCGAACGGGUGAGUAACACGUGAGUAACCUGCCCUUGACUUUGGGAUAACUUCAGGAAACUGGGGCUAAUACCGGAUAGGAGCUCCUGCUGCAUGGUGGGGGUUGGAAAGUUUCGGCGGUUGGGGAUGGACUCGCGGCUUAUCAGCUUGUUGGUGGGGUAGUGGCUUACCAAGGCUUUGACGGGUAGCCGGCCUGAGAGGGUGACCGGCCACAUUGGGACUGGGAUGGGGCCCAGACCCCUACGGGAGGCAGCGGUGGGGAAUAUUGCACAAUGGGCGGAAGCCUGAUGCAGCAACGCCGGGUGGGGGAUGACGGCCUUCGGGUUGUAAACCGCUUUCGCCUGUGACGAAGCGUGGGUGACGGUAAUGGGUAAAGAAGCACCGGCUAACUACGU